GGAGGAGAGAGACCAACCUGAGUCAGGGGACAGGUUAGAUACUGACAGGAGGAGAGAGACCAACCUGAGUGAUGGGACAGGUUAGAUACUGACAGGAGGAGUAGAGACCAACCUGAGUCAGGGGACAGGCUAGAUACUGACAGGAGGAGAGAGACCAACCUGAGGGGACAGGUUAGAUACUG